GUAGUCCACGCCGUAAACGAUGUGCACUAGAUCGAGGCGGCUCUCACGCCCUCUCGGUCGAAGGAAAACUGAUAAGUGCACCGCCUGGGGAGUACGGUCGCAAGGCUAAAACUCAAAGGAAUUGACGGGGGCUCACACAAGCGGUGGAGCAUGUUGCUUAAUUCGAGGCAACGCGAAGAACCUUACCUGGGCUUGACAUGCACGGAUUAACUCCUGGAAACAGGAGCCACGCCUUCGGGUGGAACGUGCACAGGUGUUGCAUGGCUGUCGUCAGCUCGUGCUGUGAAGUGUCGGGUUAAGUCCCUUAACGAGCGCAACCCCUGUCGCUAGUUGCUAACGGGUAAUGCCGAGGACUCUAGCGAGACUGCCGGUGUCAAACCGGA
rnacentral:rRNA from 1 species